UGCAAGUCGAACGAGAACGGUCCUUCGGGAUGUCAGCUAAGUGGCGGACGGGUGAGUAAUGUAUAGUUAAUUUGCCCCUUAGAGGGGGAUAACAGUUGGAAACGACUGCUAAUACCCCAUACUCCUUUAUAGUUAAUCUAUAUUGGGAAAGUUUUUUCGCUAAGGGAUAAGACUAUAUGGUAUCAGGUAGUUGGUAGGGUAAGAGCCUACCAAGCCUAUGACGCCUAGCUGGUCUGAGAGGAUGAUCAGCCACACUGGAACUGAGACACGGUCCAGACUCC
rnacentral:rRNA from 2 species